GGUUUUUAGUUUUUAUUAAAAAUUUAAUCUGCCCAAUGAAUUUUAAUUUUAAUGGCCGCAGUAAUUUGACUGUGCAAAGGUAGCGUAGUAAUUAGGUUUUUAAUUGGAGUCUUGAAUGAAUGAUUGGAUGAAAAAAUAACUUUCUUUGAUUUUUUUGUUUGAAUUUAAUUUUUAAGUGAGAAAGCUUAAAUGUUUCUAUGGGACGAUAAGACCCUAUAGAACUUGAAAUUUAUUAUAUUUUGUGAUUGUUAUAUAGUUAUUAUUUAUUUUAAAUUUUUAAUUGGGGUGAUUAUUAAAUUUUUAAACUUUAGUUUUUUAUAUCAUUAAUUUAUGUUUUAUUUUGAUCUUUUAUUAUUGAUUUUAAGUUAGAGUUACCUUAGGGAUAACAGCGUAAUUAUGUUGAAGAGUUCUUAUUAAUAACGUAUUUUGCGACCUCGAUGUUGGAUUAAGAUUAGAUUAGGGUGCAGAUUUUUUAAUGUCUAGGUCUGUUCGACCUUUUAAUUCUUACA
rnacentral:rRNA from 1 species